AUAAAACAUAGUAAAAAUAGCCAUCAUUUAUUUGAUUACAAAAUCUUUCGUCAGGAAAUAAAUUGCUACAUAAAAUAUUUUAACACGAAAUGCCUCAACCGAGGGCUGAGGCGCGGCCACGCAUACAUACACUCGCCACCAGGCGCUGACCGAGUGACUAGUGCAUGCGAAAUUAGUUCCUAUCACCUUCACAAUAUGCAAUAUUAUAACAUGCACGUUAGCUGGCCCGCUAACGUAGCUUCGAACCUAAAUACCUACAAAUACAUGGCUAGGCGUAUACUGGCAACAGGCGAUGCAAUAAGGGUCAGAUCUACAAAGCGCAGUUUGACUUUGCUGACUUAAUGCACUGUUAAAAUGAGACAGCGUUAUACAUUGCCGACAUAAAAUCUGUCUCGUUUUAACUUUAAGUCUGAGCAGAAUCAAAGUACGCUCUAUAGAUCUCGGCAUUACACCACGAUUUACAGUUCGAUUCAAACGAAACAUACAUAUAUUCAUGACAACAUUAACUGGGUUUGUAAGCGAAGCAUAGUAGAAAACCUUCCGCAGUGUAUAUUAUAUUACCAUGUACGUUAAGAUACUGUUAUUUAUUUAUUUAUUUGCUACACUAUUAUCACAUCUCACAAAAGGUAGAAAAUAUUACAAGUGGA